rnacentral:rRNA from 1 species
AUUGAACGCUGGCGGCAUGCCUUACACAUGCAAGUCGAACGGCAGCACGGGUGCUUGCACCUGGUGGCGAGUGGCGAACGGGUGAGUAAUACAUCGGAACAUGUCCUGUAGUGGGGGAUAGCCCGGCGAAAGCCGGAUUAAUACCGCAUACGAUCUACGGAUGAAAGCGGGGGACCUUCGGGCCUCGCGCUAUAGGGUUGGCCGAUGGCUGAUUAGCUAGUUGGUGGGGUAAAGGCCUACCAAGGCGACGAUCAGUAGCUGGUCUGAGAGGACGACCAGCCACACUGGGACUGAGACACGGCCCAGACUCCUACGGGAGGCAGCUGUGGGGAAUUUUGGACAAUGGGCGAAAGCCUGAUCCAGCAAUGCCGCGUGUGUGAAGAAGGCCUUCGGGUUGUAAAGCACUUUUGUCCGGAAAGAAAUCCUUGGCCCUAAUACGGUCGGGGGAUGACGGUACCGGAAGAAUAGGCACCGGCUAACUACGUG